UUCACGAUCUUCCUCCGUUCAGCUCAAGGUGAGGCGCUGGUUCUGUUUUUUCUUUGGUUGGUUCCGGCCGGAAUGUUCGGAUUCCGGUCGGACGGUUUGUGCUUCCCGCCGUGGAAGGUUCUGAGUGCGGUCACUUGAUUUAGUCCCGAUGGUUAGCAUAGAACGUUGUAGUCUUGACAACCAUAAGAAACCACCUGGCAGUUAGUUGGACGGGAGUCCCCUGAGGGAAUCUGGCAGAACGUUCUGGAUUGUAUUCGCGUAACCUCGAGCUGUUGCCAACGGCAACUAUUUUUCAAUCGUUUCCAUUGGGAAUUGUGGCCCCUUAUCUUAAACAACUUAAGUUUGAUAUUAAAUACAUACUGACGCGUACGUCGUACAAUAUGUUGAUCAUUUCCGAUGGUUGCGCCGUACUUUAACCACGCUGACGUGACGGGACUCUCGCUGCGUACAAAACGGCGUCCUACUUGCGCGCCCAUUUUUUAUAUCGGUGACGGAUGAAAAUCAUUUCAAGGUGGCAUUUCAAAGGAACCCAGCACCUGAAUAUGGCUGAGUGUCUGCCUCCUCACCCAGAGCAAGACCUCCACCUCCUCACCCAGAGCCAGACCUCCAACUCCCGUCAGAAGUCCUCCAGAACAGCUGAAAGGUGAGGCUGAGAGGCUGGGGACCGGAGGCUUGUGGUGCCAGGAUGGACCAGAGACUGAGGCUGGAGACCAGGGGCCUGCAGCACCGGGCCUGCAGCACCGGACCAGAGGACCAGGAAUCUAUGUCUGGGGGAGCCCUGCUGAAGGAGCUGAUGGAGGAGUCGUGCUGAAGGCCCUGCCUGGUGGAGGAGCUGGUGGAGGUCCUGCCUGGUGAAUGACGUCUGUCGUGGGGUAGAUGGAGCUUGACUCUGAAGUGAUCUUCACACUCACUGCCAUUUCUCGUAGAAUUCUGCUACCACAAACUACCGGCGUUUGUACCAUAUAUACCAGACGACUACAUCUGUUUUACCACAUGUUGAAGCAAGACUUCCGCUGUUUGUUCCAGACCAGGAAUCUGUCUGAGGAGAGCUACUGUAUUCCUCAACGUGUUUCUGGAGCGGAGGCGAGCUGGUAGGGGAGCCGUGAAUCUGGAGGAUGACCAUCACUCUACCAACAAGGAUUACGUUGGGGCCAGACUCGCGCUGUUUGUUCCAGACCAGGACUCUGGCUGAGGUGAGCUGAUGGAGGAGCCAAGACUCUGGAGGACGACAUCACUCUACCAACCAGGAUCCUUACGAGGAAUCUGGAGGACUGAUGGAGAAGCCGUACAUCUGGAAGGCAAAUCCUGAGGACAACCAGGACUCUACCAUCAAGGAUUCCUCACACACCUGAGCUGAACCUCACCUGAUCCUGUUUGGUCGCGGGUAGACACAGCUGAGCUGAACCCGCCCUGAUCCUGACAUCCUGCUGGUCCCGUCUCCUCAGUUGAUCUGCGCCUCGUACUCCAGAAGACCUGCUGAGCUCAGCAAUCUGAGGCUGAUGUAUCAAUGACCUCCAGUGGGAAUGAUCUUCUUGACCCCACAUAAUGGUGGUGACAUUUUGAAAAGUGCUGAAGGCCCUGCCUGGUGGAGGAGCUGGUGGAGGUCCUGCCUGGUGAAUGACGUCUGUCGUGGGACCAGGAAUCUGUCUGAGGAGAGCUGCUGUAUUCCUCAACGUGUUUCUGGAGCGGAGGCGAGCUGGUAGGGGAGCCGUGAAUCUGGAGGAUUACCAUCACUCUACCAACAAGGAUUACGUUGGGGCCAGACUCGCGCUGUUUGUUCCAGACCAGGACUCUGGCUGAGGUGAGCUGAUGGAGGAGCCAAGACUCUGGAGGACGACAUCACUCUACCAACCAGGAUCCUCACGAGGAAUCUGGAGGACUGAUGGAGAAGCCGUACAUCUGGAAGGCAAAUCCUGAGGACAACCAGGACUCUACCAUCAAGGAUUCCUCGUAAACACACCUGAGCUGAACCUCACCUGAUCCUGACAUCCUGCUGGUCCCGUCUCCUCAGUUCAUCUGCGCCUCGUCCUCCAGAAGACCUGCUGAGCUCAGCAAUCUGAGGCUGAUGUAUCAAUGACCUCCAGUGGGAAUGAUCUUCUUGACCCCACAUGUAACGUGUGCUUCCACACGCCUUUCCCUCACGUCUGUCACUAACCUCACUACUUCACUACUCUCUACUGCUUCCUCUUCUUCCUUCUCUGUUGUUCGUACCUUUACACGGAAGGCGCGUCUUCCUGCCCUCAGAGGGUUCAGCGUUAGGGUUGAGUCAGGGUUUAGAGUCAGGGACAGAGCUGGUCAGGGAGGACUGCUAUUACACAAACCUCUUCACUUCCUUUCGGAAUGGUGGUGACAUUUUGAAAAGAUUCAUUUGGGAAAAUGUUUUCCUCUGCUUUCCUUUACAAAAUUGUACUAAACUUCUGUAAAGCAUUUUUGUUUAUAUAUUAAAAUCCCACAUUGACUUC